rnacentral:misc_RNA from 1 species
GAAAAAAAAAGGGAUUCUAGUUGAAACUUAUCCUUGUAUACAAAAACAGAAACUUCCAAGUGACUGGAUUUAACCACCUGAUAUCAUCCCACUUUAGCUCUUUGAUACUUUGUCAGGGAACAAUUUAGGAGGAUUGAAAGUGGAUGGAAAUUAGCUUUUAUCCUCUUGUUAGGAUAGGAUGGAUUAAAAAUGUAAGGAAAAAGAAUCAUGCGAAAAUAGUUUUACGAUGGAAAAGUUACAAUUUUAUCUUUUAUCUUCAUGGUUAAAGAUUUUGUUGCCAUGAUUACAAUUUUCUUCAUUUUACCUCCAUUACCUUCCAAAUUUUUGGAAGAAAAUUUUUUAGGGCUUCAUGUGCAAUUUUAUCUUCAUUAUCUUUUCACCUACUUUCCUUCUUCUUCCAAAAUGGAAAAAUGCAAUUUUUCCAAAAGUUUCUCCCCCUUUUUCUUUCCCCCCAUUUUUCUCUGUCUAGCAUAAUGUAAAAGCUAGGUUUCAAGAUCCAAAACAUGCAAUGGAUUAACAUGGGCAGUGAUUCUUCAAACAU